GUGAAGAACGUAGCGAAAUGCGAUAAGUAAUGUGAAUUGCAGAAUUCAGUGAAUCAUCGAAUCUUUGAACGCACAUUGCGCCCGCCAGUAUUCUGGCGGGCAUGCCUGUCCGAGCGUCAUUUCAACCCUCGAACCCCUCCGGGGGGUCGGCGUUGGGGAUCGGGAACCCCUAAGACGGGAUCCCGGCCCCGAAAUACAGUGGCGGUCUCGCCGCAGCCUCUCCUGCGCAGUAGUUUGCACAACUCGCACCGGGAGCGCGGCGCGUCCACGUCCGUAAAACACCCAACUUCUGAAAUGUUGACCUCGGAUCAGGUAGGAAUACCCGCUGAACUUAAGCAUAUCAAUAAGCGGAGGA
rnacentral:misc_RNA from 1 species